rnacentral:rRNA from 1 species
GGGAUGACGAGUCUGACGGAGCACGCCGCGUGAGUGAAGAAGGUUCUUCGGAUCUGUAAAGCUCUGUCUUCAAGGACGAAUGUAGAUAUUGUGAAUAAUGAUAUUUAAUGACGGUACUUGAGGAGGAAGCCACGGCUAACUACGUGCCAGCAGCCGCGGUAAUACGUAGGUGGCAAGCGUUGUCCGGAAUUAUUGGGCGUAAAGGGAGCGCAGGUGGGAAUAUCAGUCUGUCUUAAAAGUUCGGGGCUCAACCCCGUGAUGGGAUGGAAACUAUAUUUCUUGAGUGCAGGAGAGGAAAGUGGAAUUCCUAGUGUAGCGGUGAAAUGCGUAGAUAUUAGGAGGAACACCAGUGGCGAAGGCGACUUUCUGGACUGUAACUGACACUGAGGCUCGAAAGCCAGGGUAGUGAACGGGAUUAGAUACCCCGGUAAUCCUGGCCGUAAACGAUGGGUACUAGGUGUAGGAGGUAUCGACCCCUUCUGUGCCGGAGUUAACGCAAUAAGUACCCCGCCUGGGGAGUACGGCCGCAAGGUUGAAACUCAAAGGAAAUUGGACGGA